AAAAUGGCCUUCUUUAAGGCCACUAAAAGCAACAUCCCAGGGUUUG
rfam:Xenopus tropicalis strain Nigerian Chr01_contig_2439, whole genome shotgun sequence.